rnacentral:rRNA from 1 species
UUAAGCGACUAAGCGUACACGGUGGAUGCCCUGGCAGUCAGAGGCGAUGAAGGGCGUGCUAAUCUGCGAUAAGCGCCGGUAAGGUGAUAUGAACCGUUAUAACCGGCGAUACCCGAAUGGGGAAACCCAGUGUGACUCGUCACACUAUCAUUAACUGAAUCCAUAGGUUAAUGAGGCGAACCGGGGGAACUGAAACAUCUAAGUACCCCGAGGAAAAGAAAUCAACCGAGAUUCCCCCAGUAGCGGCGAGCGAACGGGGAGGAGCCCAGAGCCUGAAUCAGCAUGUGUGUUAGUGGAAGCGUCUGGAAAGGCGCGCGAUACAGGGUGACAGCCCCGUACACAAAAGCGCAUGUGCUGUGAGCUCGAUGAGUAGGGCGGGACACGUGGUAUCCUGUCUGAAUAUGGGGGGACCAUCCUCCAAGGCUAAAUACUCCUGACUGACCGAUAGUGAACCAGUACCGUGAGGGAAAGGCGAAAAGAACCCCGGCGAGGGGAGUGAAAAAGAACCUGAAACCGUGUACGUACAAGCAGUGGGAGCACAGGUUUACCUGUGUGACUGCGUACCUUUUGUAUAAUGGGUCAGCGACUUAUAUUCUGUAGCAAGGUUAACCGUAUAGGGGAGCCGUAGGGAAACCGAGUCUUAACCGGGCGUUAAGUUGCAGGGUAUAGACCCGAAACCCGGUGAUCUAGCCAUGGGCAGGUUGAAGGUUGGGUAACACUAACUGGAGGACCGAACCGACUAAUGUUGAAAAAUUAGCGGAUGACCUGUGGCUGGGGGUGAAAGGCCAAUCAAACCGGGAGAUAGCUGGUUCUCCCCGAAAGCUAUUUAGGUAGCGCCUCGUGAAUUCAUCUCCGGGGGUAGAGCACUGUUUCGGCUAGGGGGCCAUCCCGGCUUACCAACCCGAUGCAAACUGCGAAUACCGGAGAAUGUUAUCACGGGAGACACACGGCGGGUGCUAACGUCCGUCGUGAAGAGGGAAACAACCCAGACCGCCAGCUAAGGUCCCAAAGUCAUGGUUAAGUGGGAAACGAUGUGGGAAGGCCCAGACAGCCAGGAUGUUGGCUUAGAAGCAGCCAUCAUUUAAAGAAAGCGUAAUAGCUCACUGGUCGAGUCGGCCUGCGCGGAAGAUGUAACGGGGCUAAACCAUGCACCGAAGCUGCGGCAGCGACGCUGAUGCGUUGUUGGGUAGGGGAGCGUUCUGUAAGCCUGUGAAGGUGGCCUGUGAGGGUUGCUGGAGGUAUCAGAAGUGCGAAUGCUGACAUAAGUAACGAUAAAGCGGGUGAAAAGCCCGCUCGCCGGAAGACCAAGGGUUCCUGUCCAACGUUAAUCGGGGCAGGGUGAGUCGACCCCUAAGGCGAGGCCGAAAGGCGUAGUCGAUGGGAAACGGGUUAAUAUUCCCGUACUUGGUGUUACUGCGAAGGGGGGACGGAGAAGGCUAUGUUGGCCGGGCGACGGUUGUCCCGGUUUAAGCGUGUAGGUGUGUGUUCCAGGUAAAUCCGGUUCACUUUAACACUGAGGCGUGAUGACGAGGCACUACGGUGCUGAAGCAACAAAUGCCCUGCUUCCAGGAAAAGCCUCUAAGCAUCAGGUAACAUCAAAUCGUACCCCAAACCGACACAGGUGGUC